GAAACUGCGAAUGGCUCAUUAAAUCAGUUAUCGUUUAUUUGAUAGUACCUUACUACUUGGAUAACCGUGGUAAUUCUAGAGCUAAUACAUGCUAAAAACCCCGACUUCGGAAGGGGUGUAUUUAUUAGAUAAAAAACCAAUGCUCUUCGGGGCUCCUUGGUGAUUCAUAAUAACUUAACGAAUCGCAUGGCCUUGUGCCGGCGAUGGUUCAUUCAAAUUUCUGCCCUAUCAACUUUCGAUGGUAGGAUAGUGGCCUACCAUGGUUUCAACGGGUAACGGGGAAUUAGGGUUCUAUUCCGGAGAGGGAGCCUGAGAAACGGCUACCACAUCCAAGGAAGGCAGCAGGCGCGCAAAUUACCCAAUCCCGACACGGGGAGGUAGUGACAAUAAAUACUGAUACAGGGCUCUUUUGAGUCUUGUAAUUGGAAUGAGUACAAUUUAAAUCCCUUAACGAGGAACAAUUGGAGGGCAAGUCUGGUGCCAGCAGCCGCGGUAAUUCCAGCUCCAAUAGCGUAUAUUAAAGUUGUUGCAGUUAAAAAGCUCGUAGUUGAACCUUGGGCCUGGCUGGCCGGUCCGCCUCAC
rnacentral:rRNA from 1 species